rnacentral:RNase_P_RNA from 1 species
GGGGCAGGUCGAACCGUCGCCGUUCCGGUCCUCCCGGAUCGGAGCGGAGGAAAGUCCGGGCUCGCUACGGCACAGCGCCGGCUAACGGCCGGGAGCGGGAUCCGGUCCUCGGACCGCGGUUCCGCUACAGACAGCGCAACAGAGAGCAGACCGCCGAAUGGGCCCGAAAGGGCUCAUGGCAAGGGUGAAAGGGUGGGGUAAGAGCCCACCGCGUCUCCGGCGACGGAGACGGCACGGCAAGCCUCGCUGCGAGCAAGGUCGAGCAGCGGAUGGGCCGCCGGCCCGGCCGCGCCCCAGGGCGCGGCGAUCCGCGGGUUGACCGCUGGAGGCCCCGGGAAACCGGAGGCCGAGAGAGAUGACGGCGGCGCCGAAGGGCGCACAGAACCCGGCUUAUAGACCUGCCCCAUUU